UACGUAGGGGGCAAGCGUUGUCCGGAUUUAUUGGGCGUAAAGAGCGUGUAGGCGGCCGUACAGGUCAGCUGUGAAAACUCGAGGCUCAACCUCGAGACGUCGGUUGAAACCGUACGGCUAGAGACCGGAAGAGGAGAGUGGAAUUCCCGGUGUAGCGGUGAAAUGCGCAGAUAUCGGGAAGAACACCCGUGGCGAAGGCGGCUCUCUGGGACGGUACUGACGCUGAGACGCGAAAGCGUGGGGAGCGAACAGG
rnacentral:rRNA from 1 species